GUGGGGAAUCUUCCGCAAUGGGCGAAAGCCUGACGGAGCAAUGCCGCGUGAACGAAGAAGGCCUUCGGGUUGUAAAGUUCUGUCCUUAUCGAAGAGAGGGUAAUAGAGUAACUGCUAAAACCAGGACGGUAGAUGAGGAGGAAGCCCCGGCUAACUACGUGCCAGCAGCCGCGGUAAAACGUAGGGGGCAAGCGUUGUCCGGAAUCACUGGGCGUAAAGGGCGCGUAGGCGGCAAUAUAAGUCAGGUGUGAAAACUGAAGGCUCAACCAUUAGAGUGCACCUGAUACUGUAUAGCUUGAGGAUGAGAGAGGGAAGCGGAAUUCCUAGUGUAGCGGUGAAAUGCGUAGAUAUUAGGAAGAACACCAGUGGCGAAGGCGGCUUUCUGGCUCAUAACUGACGCUGAGGCGCGAAAGCGUGGGGAGCAAACAGGA
rnacentral:rRNA from 1 species